rnacentral:misc_RNA from 1 species
AACGCACGAGACCUGCGGACCUGCGGAAGGAUCAUUACAUGGCGGAGGAGGUGGGCACCUAGUAAAAACAAAACCCUAGGUGUGUUGCCUACCACGCUUUCUACCCUUGUCUAUUUGCACCUUUUGUCGUUCCCUCGGUGGGUCUUGAACCUGCCGGCGGCAACUUUCAAAAACCUUUUGUAGUUAGUAUCUAAUUCUUCUGAUCAAAUAUUCAAUCGUUACAACUUUUAACAAUGGAUC